rnacentral:rRNA from 1 species
GACGAACGCUGGCGGCGUGCUUAACACAUGCAAGUCGUACGGUAAGGCCCUUUCGGGGGUCCACGAGUGGCGAACGGGUGAGUAACACGUGAGUAACCUGCCCACAACUUUGGGAUAACGCUAGGAAACUGGUGCUAAUACUGGAUAUGUGCUCCUGCUGCAUGGUGGGGGUUGGAAAGCUCCGGCGGGUGUGGAUGGACUCGCGGCCUAUCAGCUUGUUGGUGGGGUAGUGGCCUACCAAGGCGGCGACGGGUAGCCGGCCUGAGAGGGUGACCGGCCACAUUGGGACUGAGAUACGGCCCAGACUCCUACGGGGGGCAGGAGGGGGGAAUAUUGCACAAUGGGCGCAAGCCUGAUGCAGCAACGCCGCGUGCGGGAUGACGGCCUUCGGGUUGGAAACCGCUUUCAGCAGGGACGAAGCUUUUUGUGACGGUACCUGCAGAAGAAGCACCGGCUAACUACGUG